rnacentral:tRNA from 1 species
GCCGGGCUGGUUUAGUUCAUAAAGCAUGUGACUCUUAAUCUCAGGGUCAUGAGUUCAAGCCCCAUGUUGGGUA